rnacentral:tRNA from 1 species
GGGGGUAGAGCUCAGUGGUAGAGCAUGUGCUUAACAUGCAUAAGGUCCUGAGUUCAACCCCCAGUACCUCCA